GAUGAACGCUGGCGGCGUGCCUAACACAUGCAAGUCGAGCGGCAGCGAGGGGUGCUUGCACCCUGUCGGCGAGCGGCGGACGGCUGAGUAACGCGUGGGAACGUGCCCCAAAGUGAGGAAUAACUGCCCGAAAGGGUAGCUAAUACCGCAUAUUAUCUUCGGAUCAAAGGAUUUAUCCGCUUUGGGAGCGGCUCGCGUCGGAUUAGGUAGUUGGUGAGGUAAUGGCUCACCAAGCCGACGAUCCGUAGCUGGUCUGAGAGGAUGACCAGCCAGACUGGAACUGAGACACGGUCCCGACUCCUACGGGAGGCAGCAGUGAGGAAUCUUCCACAAUGGGCGAAAGCCUGAUGGAGCAACGCCGCGUGCAGGACGAAGGCCUUCGGGUUGUAAACUGCUUUUAUAAGUGAGGAAUAUGACGGUAACUUAUGAAUAAGGAUCGGCUAACUACGUG
rnacentral:rRNA from 1 species